UGUCAGCGGGGGCUACAGAAGACCCCUGGUCAGCACGCCCCGCACGUCCAUGUUUCUGAUGGCUGACGUCAGUACAAGGUAUGAUCUUCUUUAUUCCCUCUUGUCUCUCCUCUCCCUCUGCCUUCUCCCGUCCCUUGCCCUUCUCCCGUGCCUCUGCUCUUGUCCCUGGUGACUGUGACCACCCUUGUCCUCUGAGUGGUUAGCCGUCCCCUCCUCUCUGUUUCCCCGUCUGAGAAUAUCCUGAUGCUGGAGAUGGCCUUCCCGCUCGGACCACUAAGGAGUAUGAGGGGCCAGUCAUAGCCCACGGUAGCGCAGCGUGGAGGAUGCUCUGCGGGAAAGAGGAUGCGAUCCAGGUGGAUGCCUCAGGUUCCACAGCGCCUCGAGCACACCAGCACUGGGGCAGUCAAGAAACCAAAGUCUGGCCGACCUAAAACGGGUAAGAAGACUGGUACCCCUACCUCUCGCACCCCCAACUCUCCAUACAGCCCCUCCAGCCCAGGACAUCCUUUAUACCCACAAUCCCGCGGGCUAGUGCCCAAGUGAUAACUCCACACAUUUCCUGUUUUUGGACCCAAAAUUGAGAAGACUGCUUUUUGUUUUGUUUUUCUACUGAGUCUUGCAGACUGAUUUUGCAGUCUGCAAGGGAAAGUGACGGAGACUCCAGACUGAUUCAAGCACUUUUUUAAAUGAUUUUUUAAAAUAUAUUUUUCUUUUCUUUUACCUGAGACCAUAGCUCUUAUCAUUUUUAUUUUUUAAUUUUUUAAGAGAUUUGUAUCUACCUUUCCAACCCACAUGGUUACUGCGGUACAAUACUAUGCCAUCUGUGCGUGAUGUUCCAGAGACAAGCGGUUGAAUACUACCUUCCUUUAUGGGGCCCACACAUGUUCUUAAUGUUAACAGAUAAGGACGAUGUCCUCUAGACCAAUUAUUUUUUUUAGCUCUAGUUCACUACUAUGCAUGUGUCCUCCUGGGCCCCUCCUAUGUCUACAGUGUGAUGGGAGGAGACGUGGACAUGGGGGCUGGCAUCGGAAAGGACAGCUCUAAAUGCUUUGCUGGGGGGGGGGGGGGGGUUUGUCAAUGUCCCUACUUUAGGUUUACAAGCUGUUAUCCAGGUCUGUCUGUACACAGUUGAGCUUUAAAUCUCUGUUGUCCUCAAUAAGUGGGGGAGUGUUUUGUUUGUACUGCUUGGUGAACUAACUGUACAGGCCGGAGGGUGAAGCACGCUGCAACACGUCUGUCACGUGAUGUGGCCGGUCGCUGCUGGAAUCACAACAUGCUGUUCUUCCUGGAGCACCUAUGAUGACAGGGAUAUGGAAGAGCGGAACUAGAGGUCAACACAAGCCAAAUCAUCUAUCAGGGUUCUGAGGUGCCUUAGAUUCUCCAGACUCUACAGACCUACAGCGGCUGGCUAGAGGGGCAGGGAGCUAGCUGUGUUGCCUCAACCUCAUCUUUACCGACCUCCGAUCUGGCUCCGAGUGUUCCUUGGAAUCAACUGAUUUGUUGUACCUUAGGUAGAAAGUUUAUGUCAAGAGGCCUCAAUCAAAAUGGACUUGGUCUGAAAAAAUGAAGGUAGCUUUCCUUGUAUGUUUUGGAUAAAUAUGCAGUCUUAAUUCACUGUUUUUACACCUGCAUCUGAGCGUUGUCCCCACUCCCUCUGCUACUGCAGGGUUAUACUACCCUGUGACAGUAUAUGUGUAUACUACGAUAUAGAAAGUCCUGUAUCACCUUUUUGCAGUUGUAAAAAAUGUAAUACUGAAAAAGGUUAACUUUUAUUUCAUUUUUAUACAUAUGUAGAUACCAUUUUAAAAAAGUUUUCUUUGAAAUAGACUAUUUUUGGAUUUGUAUAAUUUUAAGUGCACUUUAAUUUUCUGACACGGUACGUGCAUUUCAAAUUGCUUUAGUGUUUAAGUUUGCAACAGUUGAUCCGACCUUAAAACAAUGUUUUGUAUGGGAAGGAUGCGUUCUAUCCUAAAAUGUGAUGUUCACUCAGAUUCUGUGUGUUGAGACUUGUAUGCAUUUGGCAUGAAAUGGUAAUCUUUAUACAAGGGUUAGCCCCUAUUUUUUUUUUAUACUUCUGACCAUAAGGUUCAUUCAGCAUGAUUUUUAGAAAAUUCUUACUUUACUAAGCCAUAGAAUUUGGCAUCUAAAAUGAAUCCCUACAUUAUUAUCCCGUUGGCAUGUCACCGUAUCUAAACUUUAUGUAUAAGAUGAUUCUGAUGGUUUUUGCCAAAUGUUAAAAUUAUGCAGAUGCAGAAGUCCUCAACUGUUCCUUUUGUAAAAAAAAAAAAGUUUUAAUAAAGAUGACCUAAUUACACACUGAUUUAAAUGAGUGAAACUGAUGUGUGGUGGAGUUAGUGUAUGAUAUCACAUCCCAAACAUUCAACUUUUAUUAACAGCAGUCAAAAAAAAGUACAAUUCAAAUUCCAAAACAACAUCCGUAAACACAACCCACAUUUGUCAGAACUUAAGGAAUGGUUCUAGAGUAUACAAGCAAACUGGAAAAGACCUUUUAUUGCUCAUAUUCUACCACUGUAUUGAAUUAUAAAUAAAAAAAAAUCACAAAACAUGCUAUGAGUCAGAUGAACAAAACAAUCUGCCUGGCCAAGGGAGUACAGAUUUAUCACUUAACAUUUGAAAUCAAUGUGAAAGUGUUAUAUUAAAAGGACAAAUCAGAAUAGUUUUGACCAAAAUGCCAAUUUCAUGCGACAUACUGUAGGUGUGACACUGGAGGCUGACUAAGUUAACCUCGAUUCAACAUUCAGAUAAGUUUACAUCCAGUCUGUAACUAAGGUAUCGGUAGCAAGUAUGAGCUAAAGAAUCUAUAUAUAAAAUUAUAUUUAUAUGCAGAUGACCACCACACAAUGUAUAACUAAACAAGCAAAAAAGAAAACACACGUCAACAAAAUGGCAUAAGUCGGAAAUGAAAUGUUUCUUUUCUCGCUGCUGUUUUGACAGCACACAGUAGCUACAUGCAUUUCCUGUCCUGUCUUCUCACAGGCUUACAGCAGUGGCAUGAGACACUACAUGGCCAAAAGUAUGCGGACACCCGCUUCGUUCAACUUCUCAUUCCAAAAUCAUGGUCAUUAUUAUGGAGAUGGUCCCCCCCUUUGCUGCUAUAACAGCCUCCAAUCUUCUGGGAAGGCUUUCCACUAGAUGUUGGAACAUUGCUGUGGGGACUUGCUUUAGUGAGAUGGGGCACUGAUGUUGGGUGAUUAGGCCUGGCCUCGCCGUCGGCAUUCCAAUUCAUCCCGAAGGUGUUCGAUGGGGUUGAGGUCAGGGCUCUGUUGCAGGCCAGUCAAGUGCUUCCACACCGAUCUCGACAAACCAUUUCUGUAUGAACCUGGCUUUGUGCACGGGGGCAUUGUCAUGUGGUAACAGGAAAGGGCCUUCCCCAAACUGCUGCCACAAAAUCAUCUAGAAUAUCAUUGUAUGCUGUAGCGUUAAGAUUUCCCUUCACUAGAACUAAGGGGCCUAGCUCGAACCAUAUAAAACAGCCCCAGACCAUUAUUCCACAUCCACCAAACUUUACAGUUGCCACUAUACAUUCGGGCAGGUAGUGCUCCAAACCCAGAUUUGUCCACUGGACUGCCAGAUGGUGAAGCAUGAUUCAUCCCUCCAGAGAACACGUUUCCACUGCUCCAGAGUCCAAUGGUGGCAAGCUUUACACCACUCCAGCCAAUGCUUGGCAUUGUGCAUGGUGAUCUUAGGCUUGUGUGCGGCUGCAUAGCCAUGGAAACCCAUUUCAUGAAGCUCCCGAUGAACAGUUCUUAUACUGACGUUCCUUCCAGAGGCAGUUUGGAACUUGGUAGUGAGUGUUAGACCCGGGAACAGACCACUUUUACACGCUUCAGCACUCAUCAGUCCCGUUCUGUGAGUUUGUGUGGCCUACCACUACGCGGCUGAGCCGUUGUUGCUCCAGACAUUUCCACUUCACAAUAACAGCACCUACAGUUGACCGGGGCAGCUCUAGCGGGACAGAAAUUUGACGAACUGACUUGUUAGAAAGGUGGCAUCCUAUGACGGUGGCACAAACGUCAGCACUUCCGUAAGGCCAUUCUACUGACUGACUGUUUAUGGAGAUUGCAUGGCCGUGUGCUUGACUUUAUACACCUGUCAGCAACAGGUGUGGCUGAAAUAGCUGAAUCCACAAAUUUGAAGGGGUAUCCACAUACUUUUGUAUAUAUAGUUUAUGUAGAAGAAAAAAAACAUGAUCCUCUGUAAACUAACUUUAUUUCACUAUUGAUUACAAAGUAAACCAAAAGACCAGCUUUGGAUGAAUGUACAUGUCAGGUUUGGCAUUACUUUGAUCUUAAAUUAAUUCAUAAGGUAAUGAAAUUCAACAUGAAAAAAAUCCCAGUUUUUUUAUCUACCUAUGAAUCAAAUGUCAAUUAUUUUCCAGAAUUGACUGAAUUAAAAAUGGAACUGAACCAUUUUAGAGGGAAAAGUAAACAUUUACAAAUAUAAGAGAAUUUGAGCAGAAUCCAUCAUAACAAUGGAAGAAGCAUGGUCAACCCUAGUCUGUCAUGUUCAAACUGAAACGUCUGCUGGACAUGAUCAUGGCAUCAUAGUGUCUCCUGCAUUUAUUCUCAAGAAAGUUAACUCAAAACACCUAAUAUCCACUGCCAGUCUGCUAACAAAAUAGAGUCAAACAAUAAUAAGUGUGUCUAAACCACAGGCAUCAUGGGUCAUCAGUGUCACAACACACCACAUCUCAUCUCAUCAAGACAACCUCUACCAGCUCCACACCACCUCAUCAACAGACAACCUCUACCAGCUCCACACCACCUCAUCAACAGACAACCUCUACACCACCUCUCUGGCUUCUGGACACUACUGAAAUGAAAACUUUCUCCUCCACUCUGACACUAUCCCAUCUUCUCCUUCCAUUUAUGAAGCACAAGGCUCGAUAGCAAUCUCAGAUGGUUCUUCCAGUCUCUCAUAGUACAGUAGAUGUGGACCAACGUGCUCUGGGACAUGUGGCUGCAGGUGAUGUCCAAUAAGUAGAGUUUGGUCUUCCAACCAGAUAACAGACACCUCCAUAGGUCUAGGGCUCACUCAGCACAGAAUAUAUGGAUCCCAUUCUCACACACAGCUUAAGAGGGAAACAACUUUGUUGGGUUGAGUGAAAAAGUUAAAUCACAAAGAUCCUCCCUUCCCAACUACUGCAACAACAAAAAAUCCAUUCACAUAAUUGAUCUGUUUGGCUGUCUAAACAUCUACACCAUUGAGAAAGCUAAGUUACUGAGUACCAUAGAGCCUAGAGACACCUUUCUAUCCAAGGUGAAACCCUUCCCAUACUGAUCAAAUAUGUCUCCUCCUUACAGUGACAGGAAAGG
ensembl:lncRNA